AGAGUUUGAUCCUAGCUCAGGGUUAACGCUGGCGGCGUGCCUAACACAUGCAAGUCGAACGAGGGCUUCUCCUCCGCAAGGAGGUGGAGUUCCUAGUGGCAAACGGGUGAGUAACACGUGGGCAACCCGCCCUGUCGUGGGGGAUACCACCGGGAAACCGGUGUUAAUACCGCAUGAGGUCGUCCAUCGCAUGGUGGGCGAAGAAAGCAGUGAUGCGCGACAGGAAGGGCCCGCGGCCUAUCAGCUAGUCGGUGGGGUAACGGCCUACCGAGGCUAUGACGGGUAGCUGGUCUGAGAGGACGACCAGCCACACGGGGACUGAGACACGGCCCAGACUCCUACGGGAGGCAGCAGUUAGGAAUUUUGCGCAAUGGGGGAAACCCUGACGCAGCCACGCCGCGUGCGGGAUGAAGGCCUUCGGGUCGUAAACCGCUUUUCUCAAGGAAGACACCCGACGGUACUUGAGGAAUAAGCAACGGCUAACUACGUGCCAGCAGCCGCGGUAAUACGUAGGUUGCGAGCGUUGUCCGGAUUUACUGGGCGUAAAGCGCGCGCAGGCGGUUCCGAAAGUCCAUGGUGAAAGCUCCCGGCCCAACUGGGAGAGGCCCGUGGAAACUCCGGAACUUGAAGGCGGGAGAGGCAAAUGGAAUUUCCGGUGUAGCGGUAAAAUGCGUAGAUACCGGAAGGAACACCAGUGGCGAAGGCGAUUUGCUGGCCCGUUCUUGACGCUCAGGCGCGAAAGCUAGGGUAGCGACCGGGAUUAGAUACCCCGUUAGUCCUAGCCGUAAACGAUGGGCACUAGGUGUUGUCGGUAUCGACCCCGGCAGUGCCGUAGCUAACGCAUUAAGUGCCCCGCCUGGGGAGUACGACCGCAAGGUUAAAACUCAAAGAAAUUGACGGGGGCCCGCACAAGCAGCGGAGCGUGCGGUUUAAUUCGAUGGUACGCGAAGAACCUUACCCAGACUUGACAUGUACGUGGUACCGAUCCGAAAGGUGAAGGACCCGCAAGGGAGCGUACACAGGUGUUGCACGGCUGUCGUCAGCUCGUGUCGUGAGAUGUUGGGUUAAGUCCC
rnacentral:rRNA from 1 species